UAAUUGGAGAGUUUGAUCCUGGCUCAGAAUGAACGCUGGCGGCGUGCUUAACACAUGCAAGUCGUACGAGAACUCUUCUGCUUGCAGAAGAUAGUAAAGUGGCGCACGGGUGAGUAACGCGUGGGUAAUCUACCUCCGAAUCGGGGAUAACCCGCCGAAAGGCGAGCUAAUACCGGAUAAUAUCUUUAAAACUUAGGUUUUUAAGAUCAAAGGUGGUCUCUACAUGUAAGCUACUGUUUGGAGAUGAGCCCGCGUACCAUUAGCUUGUUGGUAGGGUAAUGGCCUACCAAGGCCGCGAUGGUUAGCUGGUCUGAGAGGAUGAUCAGCCACACUGGAACUGACACACGGUCCAGACUCCUACGGGAGGCAGCAGUGAGGAAUUUUGCGCAAUGGGGGAAACCCUGACGCAGCAACGCCGCGUG
rnacentral:rRNA from 1 species